UACGUAGGGUGCAAGCGUUGUCCGGAAUUAUUGGGCGUAAAGAGCUCGUAGGCGGCUUGUCGCGUCGGCUGUGAAAACCUGGGCUCAACCCCGGGCCUGCAGCCGAUACGGGCAAGCUAGAAUUCGGUAGGGAGACUGGAAUUCCUGGUGUAGCGGUGAAAUGCGCAGAUAUCAGGAGGAACACCGGUGGCGAAGGCGGGUCUCUGGCCGAUAUUGACGCUGAGGAGCGAAGCGUGGGAGC
rnacentral:rRNA from 1 species